CACUUGGGUAGUGCUCCUCUGCUUUCCCGGGUCACAACCAGGGAGCUGGAUCUGAGGCACCGCAGCCGGGACUGGACCCGGCGCCCAUCUGGGAUGCCGGUGCUGCAGGAGGAGGCCUAGCCCACCAGGCCGCAGCGCCGGCCCAGCUGCUGUGUUCUUGCUGCUUGACACGGGUCUGCAUCUGUCCCUCAGCGGCUCUCAGCAGUCACGUGUUCCAGCAAGUCACGACGCUUGGCCACUACGACGCUGAAAACACGUCUUUUUUCCCUGACUUACGGCAUGCCGUGCCUUCUGCGGCCAGCGCCGACACGCAGGGCUGUGACAGCAGGUCUCACGCGGCAGCUCACGUGGGACGCUGUGGCGCACUAAGGGGCGUGGCCUGUCCCGACAUCCCGCGCGCGAGAAGGGAGGGUUGGUUUUGUUGGGUGGACCAAGGAGAGGACAGAACAGAAAUCUGGAUUCAAAACUGGUUUGCCUGCAGUAGUCCAUGAUAUGGAAGGUGGAUUAGGGUAGAGCUGGAAUGAGAAGGGGUGACAACAGAGAGGACGUGCCCAGAGCUGUAGACCUGACAGGAGUGUUGGAGGAGCCAAGGAGAAAGGGAGAUCCGUCAUGGCAGGAGGCAGCAGCUGGAGGAGUGGAAGGCUAUGGAAAAGGGCAGUGUCACGUAAGUGGGGGAGAAGAGGGUUGGGUGGAAGAUCUGACAGAGGCCCGCUCAGGGGACAGUGUUGCCGAGGCACACAGGCUGGGUCUUGGCUUUAAGAGGCAAACCCGUGUUGUGGCUCAGGAGGUGCUCUAGAAACAAUGGCUGAUUUUCUUGAAGAGACUCGUUUACCUAAUAACUAGUUUGCCAACAUCAGUUUACCAAAUGGUUAAUUUGUCAGAUGAUCGAGUCACCACUUUGCUUCAGUUUGGCUCUAACAUUGGGAAAUUGCUUAUUCAGGGAAUUGGUUUCCAGUGAAUCGGUCUCCUUCCAGAUUCUGAUCCUUCAGGCAAACCAGUUUGCCGAAGUUCAGUUGCCUUUUGUGAGUCACACGCUGUGUUCAUUCAUUCGUUCACCUGCAGUUGUAGAAGCACCUACUGUGUGUCUGGCACCGUUCUAGGAGAGAAAUUGCUGCCCACAGAUUUAAGGAAGCAAAUGUUUUCAUCCACUGAAUAAUUGACAAAGAUGCAUUUUUCCAUAAAAAAGAGCAUUCCACCUAGUGUUGAAAAUUAUAAGGACCCUAAAUGGAGAAUAACAAGAUAGUAAAUGGAUAGUAAAAUGGACAAUGUUAAGACGUGGGGACAUGGCUAAAACACCACCAAUAAUUAUGCAGUCUUUUAUCUGCUUUGUGCUAGGUUGGCUGUUUGAGAGGUGGAGAGACAGAGAGCUCGCUCUCAUCUGCUGAUUCACUCCCCAAAUGCCUGCAAUGGCCAGUACCAGCUGGGAGCUGGGGAUGCAACCCGGGUCUCCUAUGUGGGUGGCAGGAACUCUAGUACCACUGUUUCUUAGGUACUGCAUCAGCAUAGCUGGAGCCAGGAAAUGAACCCAGGUACGCUGGUGUGGGGCCUGGGCCUGGGCAUCUUAACCACUAGGCCCAAUGUCUGCUGGUAGGAAGAUCUGUAAGUGGUAGCAAUGAACCCAGGGAAUGAGUAAAAGUUCAUGUGUGGGUUUCUUAAUGCAAGUUACCCAUUUCCCCACAAAAAUGAGUUUAGGGAUUAGUUUCCUGGGUCAAUUUACAGCGGUUUAAUCCAUGGCAUAGCAGAGUGCCUGGAAGGGAGACUGUGUAUUAUAGUGUAAAAUGUAAGGACUUGGGAAUGGUUUAGGCUUGGCUCUGAGUAGUUGGGUAAGCCUGGGCAAGUUACUUAAAUUGUCUAAAUCUCAUCUGCAACAUGAGAAUGAAACUGUCCGCACCAAUGCUACUGGUGAUUAAAUGAGAAAAUAUACCAUGAAAGUCCUUCUCAAGGUAUUCCCUGUAUUUCAAAGUGGACAAAACACUUUUGUUUCAUUGUGUCCUCCCUUCUUAAAAAGUGCAGUAGGCAGAGUUUGGUGGCUGUGGUGCCUCAGCCACUUGUGCUGUAGUGGGGCAAGUGGCGUCCUCAGGAGAAUUUUGCUGACAGGAGGUCAUUUUGUCUUCAUUAAAUGGUCUUAGCAUUAUUUUAUGUUUUUAUAGUUUCAGUGAUUCCCCUUCCUCAUAAAGCAUCAUGCUGACUAUGACUUGUGUCUGGUCUUUGCUUUAUAAGGUACUACACAUAAUCUUUGGGAGAAGAACUGGGAGAAUGUUAUACAUGGUUUAUGUGCCUAUAAACCAAUCAUAGACAAUCUCUCAGGGUUUAAGGACUCUACCAAGUAUUCAAGGACUCACAGGCUUACCCACACAUCACAGCCAGGAGACCUGAAGUGUGCCAUCUCUGCCUCCUUCAGCAGACACAUGAUGGGGAUGUUGCUUGUGUGUAGCCACGGCCUUCCUUGUCCGUCCCCAGCACAUCUGUGGCGUUUUCACCUGGUUUUGAAGUCAAGCAUGAACAUCAUGAAUCUUAUCAUGUUUCUUAAGUGCAAAACAGACUGCUAGUUAGGAGAGACACACAAUUAGCACAGAGAUGCAGGCAGGGAAGAAAAAUCAUGGAAUGGCCAGGAAAUGAGCACAUGAGGAGGGAAUUGAUUGGCAAUAAGAUUUUUUUUUUAAAGAUUUAUUUAUUUAUUUGAAAGGCAGAGUUACAGAGAGGCAGAGACAGAAAGAGCGAGAGGUCUUCCAUCCGCUGGUUCACAUCCCGGAAGGCUGCAAUGGUCUGAGCUGCGCUGAUCCAAAGCCAGGAGCCUGGAGUUUCUUCCAGGUCUCCCACAUGGGUGCAAGGGUCCAAGUACUUGAACCAUCUUCUGCUGCUUUCCCAGGCACAUUAGCAGGGAGCUGGAUCUGAAGUGGAGCAGCUGGGAUUAGAAAAAGUGCGCAUAAGGGAAGCCAGCAUUGCA